UACGGAGGUGGCAAGCGUUGUUCGGAAUUACUGGGCGUAAAGGGCGCGUAGGCGGCAUAACAAGUCAGAUGUGAAAGCCCCGGGCUUAACUCGGGAACUGCAUCUGAAACUGUAAUGCUUGAGUUCUGGAGGGGGUAGUGGAAUUCCCAGUGUAGCGGUGAAAUGCGUAGAUAUUGGGAGGAACACCUGCGGCGAAGGCGGCUACCUGGACAGAGACUGACGCUGAGGCGCGAAAGCUAGGGGAGCGAACGGG
rnacentral:rRNA from 1 species